rnacentral:rRNA from 1 species
UACGUAGGGAGCAAGCGUUGUCCGGAAUCACUGGGCGUAAAGCGCACGUAGGCGGAUUGCUAAGUCAGGGGUGAAAUCCUGGAGCUCAACUCCAGAACUGCCUUUGAUACUGGCGAUCUCGAGUCCGGGAGAGGUGAGUGGAACUGCGAGUGUAGAGGUGAAAUUCGUAGAUAUUCGCAAGAACACCAGUGGCGAAGGCGGCUCACUGGCCCGGUACUGACGCUGAGGUGCGAAAGCGUGGGGAGCAAACAGG